UGAGACAGGAAUCAAUCGCUUUUGUGAC
rnacentral:piRNA from 1 species